UAACAUUUUUUGCCAAAAUUGUGUUUAAAUGUAAAGAUGAAGCGUGAUUAAUUUGAUUUCCUUUUUCCUUUUGUAGGUAACUGGUUGUAACAGAAUUCACUUCAUCAGCUUCACGCAAUCUCACAACCGUUCGGAUUCCAACGAUGCCCAUGGUAACAUUUUUCCAUGGCCAUAAUUGUGUUAAAAUAUGUAAAGACUAAGCGCGUUUGAUUUGAUCCUUUUUUCCUUUUGUAUGUAACUACUGUAACGGAAUUGCACGUAACUUCAUGCAAUCUCACAGUAUUUCGGAUUCCAACGGAGCUCAGAGAAUUGUGGGUGUUGGAAAAUUUUCAAUCCCUUGGACAACCAAUCAAAUUAGAUGUUUUAUUAUUAUUCUAGUAAUUGAACAUCCACUAUUCACCAAGCUUACAUAUUCACUCACAAUGUACCGUAUUGCAUGCUGUAUAAGUCGUACUUUUUAUCCGUUUUUGUGAGUCUUUAAAAUCUCCUGCGACUUAUACAUGAAGCAUCCAUGCUCCUCAAACAGAACUGUUGAGAUGAAAAAACACGUUAAAGACAAAUGGAAAUGAAAAAAGUCGAUUUACAGCUGUGCUUUGUUGUCUGCCAGACGGUACAAAACUCAAGCCUCAAACAAAAUACAACAAACCUUUGGCAUCCGACAACCGAUUAGGAUUGCGAUAAGGCCUCCGCGAGGUAAAGGAACUGCCAUUGCAUGCGGCAUCAUCCAUGAUACAUAGUUUUCAUUUAGAUACAUUCCAUGAUAUCCAUGAUACAUUUAGUCGAUGGAUGUGAGAAAUAAAUACGGCCCAGUCCGUUCUUAAUGAUUGUAAAUAAAUCGCGAUUAAUAAAAACAAGUCAUUCAAUUUGAUGUGAUCGAUUCCGACGAGCCAACAUUGAGUGCGCCGUCGAAGAAAUCGAAGUAAGCCGAAUGCUUGGCAGCUCUCUUGCUAUAGGCAGAGGGAGCCAACCGGAAGGGAAAAUAAAAAUAAAACCUAGUAAAAUCUCAGCUGUCAUCGUUGACGGUUCAUCGUUCUGUUUAGUUUAUUUUGGAUGCGAAAUUAAUCCGUUUGUAGUUUUCGACCAAGCAUUCAGCAACAUAAACCCGCGAAAAAAUGUUGGAAAUCACCUGUAAUGACCGGCUCGGCAAAAAGGUUCGGGUAAAGUGCGAUCCAGAAGAUACAAUCGGUGACUUGAAAAAGUUGAUCGCCGCCCAGACCGGAACGCGCUCCGAUAAAAUCGUGUUGAAGAAAUGGUACACAAUCUACAAGGACAACAUCAAGCUUGCUGACUAUGAAAUCCACGAUGGGAUGAACUUAGAGCUAUACUAUCAAUGAGAUUCGUCUCCCGUACCUACACAAUGGAUAAGUUUCGUUUUUCAUGCAGCAGGCAAAUUCGGAGGAUAUACCGGGAAGUUGAUCCUCUGACGAGAGGGCGAGAAUCUGCGGUCUGCAAACGAUACGUACGGAAACUUUAAUGACACAGUCAUAAAAACAUGACAUACAUCAGUCGGUCAUAUCGCACCAUCGCACCGAAAUUGAGUAGAAGCCACGCAACAUGAAAUUGCGUUCGAUCCAUGGAUUUGAAUAUAACAAAAGUAGUGUCAUUUUUAGCAGAACAACUCACAAACCUACGAGUAGUGAUUAUGAUUGAAUUUUAACAACUCUCUUUUGAUGCCCACGUGUGACGAACGUGAAGACGUAAACUAGCUCAUUUAUUUAUUUUUGAAAACAG